GUGCUCGCUUCGGCAGCACAUACACUAAAAUUGGAUCGAUACAGAGAAGAUUAGCAUGGCCCCUGCGCAAGCAUGACACACAAAUUUGUGAAGUGUUCCAUAUUUUU